UUCUGUUGAGAAAAUGAUGGGAAAAUGGUUACUUCAAACCUUCAAAGGUGUAGUCAUGUGCGUAUAUGUGUAGGAAGUUAAUCACCCUCCUUGCAGCUGGAAUGUUGAAUAAGGAGGGCAUUGAUAAAAGAUGGAGUGGCAGCACGGAACACCGCUUAGAUAGAAAAUGUUGUUUUUUUUAGAGGGAGAACCCGUAGAAAAUUCCUUGAAGCAAAGGCGAGAAACAAGAUACUCAAUUCACGUCGGAACAUGCCGGGGAUGUUGAUGAAAAGGUUACCGGGAAAGGUUUAAUGGAUAAGUUGCAGGGAGAGGUUAAUGGUAAGGUGCCGGUAGGGGUUGAUGGAAACGUUGCCGGUAAAGGUUGAUGAGAAGGUUGCCGGGAGAUGUUGAUGAAAAGGUGUCGGGAGAGGUUGAUGGAAAGGUUGCUUGAAGAGAUUGAUGGAAAGGUCGCCAGCAGGGGUUGAUGGAAUGGUUACUGAGGUUGAUGGAAAGGUUGCUGGGAGAGGUUAAUGGAAAGGUGGCCGGGAGAUGUUGAUGGAAAGGUUGCUGGAAGAGGUUGAUGGAAAGGUGGCCGGGAGAGGUUGAUGGAAAGGUUGCUGGGAGAGGUUGAUGGAAAGGUUGCUGGGAGAGGUUGAUUGAAAGGUUGCUGGGAGAGGUUGAUGGAAAGGUUGCUGGGAGAGGUUGAUGGAAAGGUUGCUGGGAGAGGUUGAUGGAAAGGUUGCCGGUAGAGAUUGAUGGAAAGGUUGCCAAAAGGGGGGGGAUGGAAAGGUUGACGGGAACGUUGCCGGGAGAGGUUUUCGGAAAGGUUCUACUUACGUAUUCACGGUCUGGCUGCUGUUGUUUGAGGACGUCGUGUAACAAGGCAAGUAUCUCAUCCCCCUCGAUCUCUCCGCUGUUAUCCUGAUAGUUAAAUCGACAUAUUCAGGUUGAAAUUUCAGGUUAAAAGUCAGGAGGUUCCAAGUGAUGGUUCAUUGUUUCGCCUAAUCCUUGCAUGCUCAGGGUUCCUAGUAUUAUACUCGUAACCAUAUCUUGGCAUAGUAACCCCACUACUAACCUUGUCAUAAUAGUCCCAUACUUUGUUGAAGUCCUCUCUGGUCAUAUCGCGCUGGAUCUACAAUACAAUGAACGUCAGCUUCUGUAACCAACUGGAGGGGGUAUAAUUACUCCAAACACGCCAUAUCUGUGGUUCGGCAAACGAACUCACAAAAUCAAAUCAACACAAAAUCGAACUUUAAAUCAAUGGUAUGUUUUUUUUUGUUUGAACCAAUCGCGAAUCAAUUAAACGGUGAAGUUCGAUUAGCAUUUUGUUCGUAGUCGUUCGUUUGAUCAGGCCGGGUAAAACAUCUUUCGAUAUAGUCACAUCAACGUACCCCAUAAGUUUCGAAGAUGUUUUCUUCCAGGGGAAGCAUCCUAGAUAAAAAAUAGAAUAGGAUUGUUUAUAUAUAUUUCGAUAAUCUUGUGUUAUCUGUUUAAUUGUUUUAUUAUUUUCUAUUUGUCGCACUCACUUGGCAAGCUCAUUCAAAUUGAAUUUUCCGUCCUUGUUUGCGUCAUAUUUCUCAAGCUGAAAUGACAGGAAUUUUUGUUAAGAUAAUCACGACAAUAAUGAUAUAUAUUCGGAUCUCGAGUACUUGAGAUACCUACACAGUACUCGAUGUAGUCAUCUAGUUUCCUGGGGUUGAUAGAACUCUUUCCUUUCAUGGACAACAAUUCGUGGAAAAAACCCUGCAAAGUACAAUGUUAAAAAAACUGGAGUCAAUAUGGGAAUCUAUUAUCCGAUCAGGAGUACGGACGUGGCUCAUGAUUUUCACCCUGCUCCCCGAAGAUAAAGUCCAAAUGUUCAUACUGUGCAGAGAUGUACAAGUCUAGUGAUUGCGUUACCAUUCUAUGCUAUAUUUCCAGAGAUAAUACAAGUUUUGGUGAUUGCGUUACAAUACUAAGCUACACACCCAAAGCUAAUGCAAGUUUUUAUGACCAUUUAGGAUAGCGUUUUCAUUUAGAGAUUGCGUUACCAUUUCGUGAUUGCGUUACCAUUUAGUGAUUGCGUUACCAUUUAGUGAUUGCGUUACCAUUUAGUGCGACCUACCCGAAGCUCGACCGUCUCUAGAAAGCCGCUCUUGUCCUCAUCGAAGCGCGUGAAAAUCUACAAAACAGGCUAAUGGCAUAAAUAUACAAAAAACACUAACCUCUCCUUGGCCACUUUAUCUUUACAAUUUAUCAACAACAAAAGCACAUAUUUUUAUUAUCACCCUACCCAUAGGAGAUAGGAACGGAGUUUUUCAGGCUACAGAUAAAACCAAAAGUGUUCUUUGUCUGAGCAUUCAAAGCGCCUGGCUCUAUUAAUACCCAGAUAUGAAGGCAGGGGCGCAGCCAGGGGGGUGGCCUAGGCCCCCCCCUUCUGGCAGCCAAAAAUUCAGUAAAUGUAUAUAAUUAUCUAAAAUACAGUAAAUAAUUAUCUAAAAUACAGGAGAAAAUGCCUUGAAAGCCCCUUUUGGGUCCCCUCCUGUUAAAAAUCCUGGCGCUGGAAGGCAAUUAAAAAUACAAUAAAAAGGUCAUUAAAAGUCCUGUAAUGUUAAAAGUCUUGAAUCGUGGCACCCCUAAAAGCUGUUUGCUUUCAUUGUUUUUUCCACAAUACUUUACUGGAUGUCGAGAUCGCAUUCUAAGAUAUCGAAAAAGAAGCAAAUCUCUGAUAGAUAGGAUUGGUAAUGCUAAUAAUUAUCUGAUGCUACCUUCAUGAAGUCCACGCUCCCGAUCCUCUUGCCUUCGGAGAGGUACGUGCGCAGGAGAUUCUGCUCGACAGGUAGAAUGUUCUCGAGCUGGAGUAAAGAUGUUAUGAGGAUUAGACACGUGUGCUGGCGUCACUUUAAUUCUAGAGUGCAGCAACCUAAAAUAAUUGAUAUAAAUGAUGACUUAUUUGCUGAUGACAUUGUUGUUGAUGAUUAUGAUGAUGGUGACGAUGAUAAUGAUAGUGAUGAUGGUGAUAACGAUAGUGGUGAUAAUAGAGUAUGGCGUGGUUAUGGUUGAUAA